rnacentral:rRNA from 1 species
AGAGUUUGAUCCUGGCUCAGGAUGAACGCUAGCUACAGGCUUAACACAUGCAAGUCGAGGGGCAGCAUAACGAAAGCUUGCUUUUGUUGAUGGCGACCGGCGCACGGGUGAGUAACGCGUAUCCAACCUUCCCUAUAGUAGAGAAUAGCCCGGCGAAAGUCGGAUUAAUGCUCUAUGUUGUAUUUAGAAGACAUCUGAAGAAUACCAAAGGUUUACCGCUAUAGGAUGGGGAUGCGUCUGAUUAGGUAGUAGGCGGGGUAACGGCCCACCUAGCCGACGAUCAGUAGGGGUUCUGAGAGGAAGGUCCCCCACAUUGGAACUGAGCCAUGAUCAAACUC